ensembl:lncRNA
AGGAAGGCCGAGCUCUGAGAUUCGUUUCACUGAAUGUGUAUGUUGGAAGUUGUGACGGUUUGCGGUGGGAGGUUGAGGACCAGGUCCCGGUCCUCUCAUAAAUGGGGAGGCUGUGUUGCCUCCUGCACAGUCAACGGGGAGGACGCCGUCUUCAAGCGGAGAACCGGACUCGCCAUGAGGAGAGCGCGCGGAGCGUCCGGCCGGCCGGAGCCGCCGCGCAGGUAGCGAGGGCGCAGCCGGACGACGAGCGCGAUUCGCCGCCGAGCCCAAGGACGUACGAGGCGGCCAGACUCAGCCGA